GGAAGAGGAGGAGCCGUGAGGGGAGGAGGAGGAAGGCCCGGCGCUGCGCGUUGCCUGGCAACGGGCGGCCGCGGCCCGCGCUGCGCGAGGCCUCCGUCCCGUCAGGGAAGGGCCGAGUAUUUGGGUAUUCAUCUCAUGUUGAAAUUGGUUCCUAAUAUCCGAACCUUGCUGAAAACCAGUCCUGUAUUGUUUUGAAUUAAAACAAACAUUUUUCUGCCAUGGGGCCCGCGGCCCUGGGAGAGAGGACAAGCAGGCCACUUGCUGAUUUGUCUCCAAUUUGCAGCUCGUUAAAAGUCUGCCUAAUGUGUCAAUCUGAAUGCAUCAACCCUUGUGUGAAUAGUCCUAUUGAGUAAUGAUUUCUCAUAGUUUGUAGAUGUGGCAGAAACAAUGUCCACAGUGAUUUUCAAGGAGGUUUAUGAGUCCAGAGGCAAAGAGUCCAUGUGAUCAGCUGGGUACACAGUGCUCCGUUGUUCUGAGCUCUUCCAAACUCUAAAUUUCUUUGAGUCUGUAAGUUCUCCACUUACGAAAUAUAUUAUGGCUGAAGGUCGAAGGAAGAAGACAUUAAACCUUUGCCCACUUAUGGCAAUUACUCUGGAGACAACCACUGCUUGGAAAACAAGUAUUAUGAGCUACCUGUGACAACAUUUUUGGAGCCUCAUUCUGAAUAGUUUCACAGGGGCCAAAGAUGCUUCCUUUCCCAGUUCACUGGCUAGUUUGUCUGUUUUUCAACGAUACAAUUUGUUAGUAUCUGAACAAGGAAAUCGCCGCUAUUUACAUGGAAAGAAUCAUAGAGAUGACAGGGUUCCCCCCCAAAGCACUCACUGUGUAAUUGCUGAAGACAUUCCAAGCCACUCUAACGAAGUGUACUGUCUGCCAGUCAUUAUGCUCUUCUUGGAAGACCAUCUGUUGCACUUCAAAUAUGUAAAGGAAUACUUGGAUUCCAGUAACUUGAGCUACUUGUUUACAGAAAAACACACAUUGUUUUCCCUCUGGGGAGAGGAAGAGAGAAGGAAAAGGCUGCAUGUGACAGAUGCUAAUUAUGCAGCUUAACGCACUUCUGGAAGUUGCAUUGAUGAGAACUAUAUAAGAACGUAUGUAGAAAAUAGUGUAUUUUCAAUGCCAUUUUUUUCACAAUAGUUUUUUUUUAAUCUGUCUCCUCCCUCUUUUUUAAGGAGACUUUAUUUCCCAAAUAGCACCUGCAGUAACCAAAGGCAAGCUAUGUCACAAGAUCCAAAAUUUUCAUAACACUGUAUGACUUAUUAUCCAGUGUAUCUUAAUGUUAUUUAGUACUGUUUAGGUAAUGAGGAAAGUUGGUGACUGGAAGGUUCUGUACUUCAGGUACAACACAGGAAAGGAGUGACUUAAAAAAAUGUCUAGUUGAUGUAUUAGUUUUGUUUCCUCUUUCAUCAAUAUUUUCUUGAUUCUUUCUCCUGUAAUUAUGUUUUGGAAAAAUGAUGUUCUGCUCUUGACUGUCCUUUGGUCCUAUGUAAGUACUUACUACUAUUAAUUUGUAAGCAUUAAUGAACUGGGUCUCAAAAUGCAUUUUACAAAUAAGUAAACUGAGACACAGAAACUGGGUUCCUCAAAACUGUGCAGUGAAUCAGUGCCAAAACCAAUGUUAGAUGAUAGAUUAAUGCUCUGAUCCAAACAUUGAGCUGUACUGUUUCAGGCAAAAGAAAUAGAUUCUCAGCUAGUGAAAAUUUUGUGUCAUCCUGAAAUCAAUGGAGAAAUGCAAGUUUACAUUUGUUACGAGUCUAGUCCACAAUGAGUCAUCUUACUGGAUUUCCAUUCCCACUACCAAAUGCCAGUUUUACCAAAGGGUGCUUCCUCUGUCAGAGGGAAAAGCAUGCCAGUUCUUGUGUAUUAAUGCCAAAUGCUGCUUUCUUUUAUUUCCCAAGUGUUGGAUUUCUCCUUGGGGAGGUGUGACUUAGCAUUGCCCGCAGCUCUCCCUGUGUGCAGAGAGACAAUCGCUCUAAUGACCAAAGUGGAGCAUGGAAACUUUGGAGGCUUUUUGUGUGCACCUCCGUGCCCACAGCAGCACGGAGAAGUAGGUUCGGAGGCUGCCACAGAGCAAAUCCUCCUUGCAUGGUCCUCAUCUCCAGUCACCAUGGAGAAAACCAUCUGUUCUACUUGGAAAGGGGCUGGGGUUGCACACUGCCCUCCCCCCACAUCCCUGCUCCGUCCCCAGCUGCUGUAUUUAGAUGAGCAGUGAGGGAAUGAAUCUCCUGCGUUAAAAAUACUCCGGUUCUAUUUAGAUAAAGAGAAAAAUCUUGCUUGCCUACACUGUUAUACAAAAAUAGUCUUGGUGUGAGUAAAUCUUCAAAGUUUGUCUUAAUGAAAGUAUCUAUCCUCCUUUA